rnacentral:rRNA from 1 species
AUUGAACGCUGGCGGCAGGCUUAACACAUGCAAGUCGAGCGGAGAGAGGUAGCUUGCUACUGAUCUUAGCGGCGGACGGGUGAGUAAUGCUUAGGAAUCUGCCUAUCAGUGGGGGACAACAUCUCGAAAGGGAUGCUAAUACCGCAUACGUCCUACGGGAGAAAGCAGGGGAUCUUCGGACCUUGCGCUAAUAGAUGAGCCUAAGUCGGAUUAGCUAGUUGGUGGGGUAAAGGCCUACCAAGGCGACGAUCUGUAGCGGGUCUGAGAGGAUGAUCCGCCACACUGGGACUGAGACACGGCCCAGACUCCUACGGGAGGCAGCAGUGGGGAAUAUUGGACAAUGGGGGGAACCCUGAUCCAGCCAUGCCGCGUGUGUGAAGAAGGCCUUAUGGUUGUAAAGCACUUUAAGCGAGGAGGAGGCUACUCUAGUUAAUACCUAGGGAUAGUGGACGUUACUCGCAGAAUAAGCACCGGCUAACUCUGUGCCAGCAGCCGCAGUAA